GUUGGCAAUGAGCCUUAUGACCGACCGCUGGGCCUUUCUCCAGGAGUGCUGGCCAACGUGAGUUUCCCACCUUCACUAUUCUGCAAAUGCAGACCAACUCCAAUAUCAGGUGUGAUGGCAUUCGGCUGCAUUUUACAUGGUUGGAUCUUUGGGGCUCUGCUCACUAGAUGAAGGCCAGGUGUGCGGUUUGGACGUUAUUUUGGAGUCUUGGGAUAAAUCCCUGGAGCCUGUCUCGAAGAAGUAAGACUGAGUGCAAGUAACGUUUCCUAAGGCGCGAUCUCAAACUGCUAAGGGAAGCUUUACCCCAGAAGCGUAUCAGGCAUCCCACAUCCACCUCCACACGGAGACAAAGGUGAGAAGUCUGCUCCAAGGCUGCUCCCAUAGCAAAAGCCUUCAGAGUGAUGCUUCCUGAAGUGUCUCCUCACCCUGACCACAGCCCAAACCCCCUGGUACCGGGGAUCCCUGAGAGAAGCAUUGGUCCC
rnacentral:lncRNA from 1 species